rnacentral:rRNA from 1 species
UUAUCAAAAACAUGUCUUUUUGAGUUAUUUUUAAAGUCUGACCUGCCCACUGAAGUUAUUUAAAUGGCCGCAGUAUUCUAACUGUGCAAAGGUAGCAUAAUCAUUAGUCUUUUAAUUAAACGCUGGUAUGAACGGUUGGACGAGGUAUAAGCUGUUACAUAUAAAUUUAUAGUAGAAUUUUAUAUUUUAGUCAAAAAGCUAAAAUUUAAUUAAAAGACGAGAAGACCCUAUAAAUCUUUAUACUUUAUGUUGUUUAGAUUUUUUGGAUUAAUUUUAUUUUUAUAAUUUAAAGUAUUUUGUUGGGGUGAUAUUAAAAUUUAAUGAACUUUUAAUUAUUUAAAAUCAUUAAUUUAUGAGUUAUUGAUCCAUUAGUAGUGAUUAUAAGAUUACACUACUUUAUGGAUAACAUCGUAAUCUUUUUGGAGAGUUCAUAUCGAUAAAAAAGUUUGCGACCUCGAUGUUGGAUUAAGAUAUAUUUUUAGGUGUAGCCGCUUAAAUGUGAAGUCUGUUCGACUUUUAAAUUCUUACGUGAUCUGAGUUC